CCUGCUCGUGGCUCUGCCCCUUGAAACUUUUUUUUUUUUUCUCUUUUGCAACUGCUGAUUUCUAAAAUAUAAAUCUGACCAUGUGACUCCCUGUCUCUUAAGCCCUUCCAUGGCUCCCCACCAGCCUCGGAAUAAAGCCCAAGUUCAAGUUCAGCAGCCUGGCCGACAAGGUGGUGGUUUGGCUCUGCUCUGUCUUCAUUCUUGUCUUCCCCACCAGACAGCAAAUUCCCUGAGAGCGAAGACCACGCCGUAGUGCUCCUGCUUAUAUCCCUGGAUAUAACCGAAGAGUAUGGCUGCACCAAGGUGUCUUCCCCCAGCAAACCCACCUGGGCUUCUCUCAGGAAGACAAGGACAAUGCAGCCUCUCCUCAGCAAGCCAGAGAAUAGGCAGGGACGCAUGUCAUCGCCAGGCCUGCUGGACAGCUUCAAGGGGAGGAGAGGCCUCAACCCCCACUCAGCACAUAGCCGAAUCCGGAGAUCUGCUGGGUGUCCACCCCCGCCUUCCACCCGCCUCCGCAUCCUGCCCGGCCGAAAGCCUCCCGGAGAGACUUCUGGCUCCAGUCACCAUUCUGCCACCUACAUUUGUGUGAUGUGGACAAGGGACUCCCCUCUCUGCGCUCCGUGUUCCCAUCUGUGAAAUGUCUAUAAGGCUGCACGGAUGGAGCAGAGCGGAGCACGUAGAGAGGCUAUGGCCAGACGCCCACCAGAAUCACAGAAUGGAAAAGAUAGGAAAUACCAAGAGUGGGCAAGGACGCAAAGCAACUGGAACUCUUAUCCAUGGCUGCUGGGAGUCUGAAAUGGCAUGAUCGUUUUAGAAAACACAAGUUGGCGGAAUUGUCUAAAGCUGAACAUACGUGUCUACUAUGAUGCAGAAAUUCCACUCUUCGGUUUCUACUCGAGAGGGAGGAAAGUGUGCCUCCUCCGGAAAACACAUACCAAAGCACCCCUGGCAGCCCUGUUCAUAAGAUUCCCAAACUGGAAAUGCUCAGCUGCCCACCAGCAUGGAGGGGAUCCAUACCUCCAGGUGCGCUCACACAAUUGGGAGUCCCUGGGUGGUACAAUCCGUUAACACACUUGGCUGCUAACCAAAAGAUUGUCAAUUCGAGUCCACUCAGAGGCACCUUGGAAGAAAGGCCUGGUGAUCUCCAAAAAGUCAAAGCCAUUGAAAAGCAUAUGGUCUCCAUGAGUCAGGGUCAACUCCAUGGCAGCUGGUUUGGAUGGUUUCACACAAGUGAAUUCUACAGAGCAGGAAAAAUAGAUGGUGUACAGCCACAUGCAACAACAUGAAUGCCUCUCAGAAAUGUAACUUUGAGGCAGAGAAGUCAGAGACAAAAGAUUACACACAUAUGACCCCCCUUUUUUUGUGCUUUAGAAGAAGGCUUAAAGAGCAAAUUAGUUUCUCAUUAAACAAUUAAUACAUAUACUGUUUUGUGCCACUGGUUGCCAACCCCACGACGUGUUAACGCUCUCCCUUUCUUGUCCAUGGGUUCCCCAUUACCAGCUUUCCUGUCCCCUCCUGACUUC